rnacentral:lncRNA from 1 species
AAGGUGGCUUUGAAUGUUUCCUCACAAGGAAAAUUGGCUAUUUGUAGAAAAUUUACACCAGUGGUGAUCAUAAAAUGGUGUCCGGAAUAAGAGCGUUCCUGGCAUACUUGGAAUUGAGUGCAAGCAUGCAAAAAAAGGUUCACUUAUCAUGAUUACAAAACCACAGUGGUUAUACCAUAAUCUGGCAGUGUUACUGGACUCACUCCUUUGCCCCGAGGUAUCUACGAGAUGGUACUCGGUAAUUGAAAUUGUUGAAAAGGAAAUUUUCACUUAAAGGGAAAAAGGAGGAGAUAGAGAAGUGGAAACAAACUUAUAGAAAUAACAAUUCGAAUUGGUUUUAGAUAAUUGGUAGGUUAUUUCUCUAUCGUCAUAAGGGCUACGUGGUAUGUGUUGAUGAGAAGCUACGGCUGGCACUAUCUUGACUUGAUAACGAGCCACCUAAGUUUACUGGUCUAUAAGUUUCUGCGAGGAUUAGCCUUCUGAAUGAACCUUGUAAACAAUUUAAUUGUUGCACACAAUUCUCAUAGAAGAAUCGAAUAAUACUUCUGUGACAUCUUGUUUCAUUGCCAUAUUUGCCAACGAAGAUGAAGAUUUAAAUAGGGCCUUCUCCAUAACAUCUAGAAAUAUCGAAAAAAAUUUCCUCGUGCAGUUUAAGUUUCAUCCGUUCAGUUAAAUGGAACUUAUAGAUAAACAAACUACAUUGGAAGACCAGAACCAGAAUAUGGGUCCCACAUUAGUUAAGAAGACUUUUUGUCCAAAGGGAAGUGAGUGUCCUUUUUAAUUUAUCUUUCAGUGUAUUGUGCUGAUUGUUUAACUUCAGUUCCCUUUUUGCUUAGUACUUUAAGAAUAUGUUGGUAAUGUCUGUUCUUGUUGAAAUUUGGUCACAAUUGUCAGAGUUAGUUCUCAAUAGAGUUCAGUCAAAGUUUUGCUAUUGAAAAUUCGAUUCUUUGUUUCCAAAGUUCUGCAAGUAUUCUUUGGUCCCAAGUCUUGUAUUCUAUAGAUUUAUGAGUUAAGAGGCCGUUUAGAUCUCAUUUUGACACUAGUUAAAUUUCAUUUUUUCUUAACUUCAUCUAUUUUCUUUUUAUUUCUGUCGUUUCAAGAAACCUGUCAUGGAACUUAAGCCUAUAAUUGCCACCUCCAGAAGUCCUUUCCUGUGCUCUAUUGCUAUAUUAUACUAACCUUUUCCCCAGCUGUUAAGGUUACUGGGCUGACUUUACAUCACUGUUUCACCAAAAAAAAGAAAAAAAAAUUUGUAAGCAACCCAUUCUUUAGUACAUCGCUUUCUCAAUUCCAUGUACUUCCCAAACCCACCACAAAAUCUAGCCUACUUGUGCAUUGGAGGGAUUCUGUAAGUCUAGCGCUAAUAAUUUUUGAAUUUUUCCAGUUGCAAGGUACUGUGCAUCUAAAGAUAUCAAACUUUCUGUGUUUUUUCUAUUAAUUGUACAUGGUUGCUUAAAACUUCUCACACUUGGAUUGUUUUUGUACAACACACUUGUCAUUUUCCACUUUCAUGAAGUAAAUCAUGGUUCCCUUUUUCUAUUUAAGGUGGCAAUUAUUUUAGAUUUUG